rnacentral:rRNA from 1 species
GACGAACGCUGGCGGCGUGCUUAACACAUGCAAGUCGUACGGUAAGGCCCUUUCGGGGGUCCACGAGUGGCGAACGGGUGAGUAACACGUGAGUAACCUGCCCACAACUUUGGGAUAACGCUAGGAAACUGGUGCUAAUACUGGAUAUGUGCUCCUGCUGCAUGGUGGGGGUUGGAAAGCUCCGGCGGUUGUGGAUGGACUCGCGGCCUAUCAGCUUGUUGGUGGGGUAGUGGCCUACCAAGGCGGCGACGGGUAGCCGGCCUGAGAGGGUGACCGGCCACAUUGGGACUGAGAUACGGCCCAGACUCCGACGGGAGGCAGCAGUGGGGAAUAUUGCACAAGGGGCGCAAGCCUGAUGCAGCAACGCCGCGGGCGGGAGGACGGCCUUCGGGUUGUAAACCGCUUUCAGCAGGGACGAAGCUUUUUGUGACGGUACCUGCAGAAGAAGCACCGGCUAACUACGUG